rnacentral:rRNA from 1 species
UGCUGGAAUGCUUUUUGCGUAAAAUGGAUUCGUCUGCCCAAGGAUGGGUCUGCGGCCUAUCAGGUAGUAGUGGGUGUAAUGUACCUACUAGCCUACGACGGGUACGGGUUGUGAGAGCAAGAGCCCGGAGAUGGAUUCUGAGACAUGAAUCCAGGCCCUACGGGGCGCAGCAGGCGCGAAAACUUUACAAUGCGGGAAACCGUGAUAAGGGGACACCGAGUGCCAGCAUCCUAUGCUGGCUGUCCAGGUGUGCAAAAUACACCUGUUAGCAAGGGCCGGGCAAGACCGGUGCCAGCCGCCGCGGUAACACCGGCGGCCCGAGUGGUGAUCGUGAUUAUUGGGUCUAAAGGGUCCGUAGCCGGUUUGGUCAGUCCUCCGGGAAAUCUGACAGCUCAACUGUUAGGCUUUCGGAGGAUACUGCCAGACUUGGAACCGGGAGAGGUAAGAGGUACUACAGGGGUAGGAGUGAAAUCUUGUAAUCCCUGUGGGACCACCUGUGGCGAAGGCGUCUUGCCAGAACGGGUUCGACGGUGAGGGACGAAAGCUGGGGGCACGAACCGGAUUAGAUACCCGGGUAGUCCCAGCCGUAAACGAUGCUCGCUAGGUGUCAGGCAUGGCGCGACCGUGUCUGGUGCCGCAGGGAAGCCGUGAAGCGAGCCACCUGGGAAGUACGGCCGCAAGGCUGAAACUUAAAGGAAUUGGCGGGGGAGCACAACAACGGGUGGAGCCUGCGGUUUAAUUGGAAUCAACGCCGGUAAGGGC